UAAUUUAAAAACCAACAUCAAACCCUUUAACAAUAUUGAGAACUUCUAUAAUGUUAUAGAACCUUUUAUGCUAAAACUAGUAACAAGAGAAAGCCCCUCUCUUUAAUGCCAACAUACGCCAGCAAGGACCCCCCCGCCGGCAAUCAACAGACCUAAACAAAAGUAGCAACCUCACCAGAAAACCCUACUUUUCCUCCUGUUAACCUAACACUAGAGCAUUUCAAGAAAGAUUAAAAGAAAAAGAAGGAACUCGGCAAACCUUAGCCCCGCCUGUUUACCAAAAACAUCGCCUCUUGACUCCAUAAGAGGUACAGCCUGCCCAGUGACUCUGUUCAACGGCCGCGGUAUCCUAACCGUGCGAAGGUAGCGUAAUCACUUGUCUUCUAAAUAAAGACCAGUAUGAAAGGCAUCACGAGGGCUAAACUGUCUCCCUUUUCUAAUCAGUGAACCUAAUUCCCCCGUGAAGAAG
rnacentral:rRNA from 1 species